GAUGAACGCUAGCGAUAGGCUUAACACAUGCAAGUCGAGGGGCAGCACAAGGUAGCUUGCUAUCUGGGUGGCGACCGGCGCACGGGUGCGUAACGCGUAUGCAACUUGCCCUAUACAGGAGGAUAACCCGUCGAAAGACGGACUAAUACUGCGUAUGCUCACAACUUGGCAUCAAGUGGUGAGGAAAGAAAUUCGGUAUAGGAUAGGCAUGCGUCCCAUUAGCUUGUUGGUGAGGUAACGGCUCACCAAGGCAACGAUGGGUAGGGGAACUGAGAGGUUUAUCCCCCACACUGGUACUGAGACACGGACCAGACUCCUACGGGAGGCAGCAGUGAGGAAUAUUGAUCAAUGGGCGCGAGCCUGAACCAGCCAAGUCGCGUGAAGGAUGACUGUCUUAUGGAUUGUAAACUUCUUUUAUACGGGAAUAACAAGAGUCACGUGUGACUCCCUGCAUGUACCGGAUGAAUAAGCAUCGGCUAACUCCGUG
rnacentral:rRNA from 1 species